GAGACCACUGGUGAGUGCACAGUGGGAGGCUUGUUGAGUCUCCUUUGUCUUGCAGGUACUAGAUGAAUUCUCCAAGCAAGUCGACAGGAUAGACUGGCCAGUAGGAUCCCCUGCUACAAUCCAUUACCCAGCCCUGGAUGGUCACCUCAGUAGAUACCAGAACCCACGAGAAGCUGAUCCCAUGACUAAAGUGCAGGCCGAACUAGAUGAGACCAAAAUCAUUCUGGUAAGCAGGAAGAUGGAGAGCAAGCCCAAGAACUGAGGCGGGGGUGCGAUUUCCACUGGCCAGGCAUGCACAGAUCCAUCCUCGUUUUAAUAUAAUAGUAACCACGGCACUCUCCAGCAAGUGGGAUUGCCCACCCCUUCCCCCACCCCGGGCAUCAGACUGUCUUUCCUAUACCCUUCUCUUGGUUAAUGGCACCCAUUGUUUCUAGGGGACCAAGCUGGGAACCAGUGGAACCCUCAAGUCUCCCUUCCUCAUGGCUACUGCCUGUCUGACCAUUUACUGGGUUCCUAGGGUUUGGCUUCUGAAGACCUGGAUUCCCACCCUGGUGCCUUUGUUAGGGUUUCGGGUGCCUCCACACCCCACAGGUGCCUCCCCUUGCAGC
rnacentral:lncRNA from 1 species